UUCAGAUGUGUUUGAGAGGGACGAAAUGGAGAGGUUUGUGUGUUCAUUUGAGAAGAAAAACAAGAAACGAUGAAGACAUAUUUGUGGGAUGGAGAGCUUUUCAAUCAUCCGCGGAAGUGGAGAGAUCCGGAGAUUGUAGAUGAGAAGAAAGAAGGAACUUCUGUAUGGUAGAUGAGGUUGAUGGCAUGAAAAACAAAGUGGUUGAAGAUGAAUGGGCGUCUUUGAAGUCGAAGAAAAUGAAGAACAUUGUUUGAAAUGAAAUAGACCAAGGAUAUUCGGUUCCAAUCCAACAGUAUUCGGUUCCUAGCGUGUUGAGGAUUCACAAAGAACCUGUAUUCGGUUCCUAUAGAGUGGUAUUCGGUCCCCCAUCAAGCAGAACCACUUCCAACCACGUUCUAUUCGGUUUCAAGCUCCGUAUUCGGUAUUCGGUUCCAUGUUUGUGUGCCCUCACUUUGACACGUUGUAUUCGGUUUCAGCGUGAUGGUAUUCGGUACCUUCGGCCUGAUGUUUGAGGAAGGCGGAGUUACCUUGGUGGUGAGAUUUCGAAGAGGAGGAGCACGCGAAUUUCCGCACUUCUCCGGCGAAUCCAAGUGCGUACGUUCUUCCUGAAUGGGUUUAGGGCAAAUGCAGCGGUGGGGUGGCUAGAGUACUUGAACUGGUGGGAGAUAUACCCCGAAAGAGAAAUUUGUGAGGGUGUUCUGAAAAAAUCUUUCCAAAAAGUUAACAGAAUUUGUUUUCCGAAAGCUUACCGGAAAGUUUUUUUCGGAUUUCUCUUUCCGGAGACGUUUCCAGAGGAACUUCCUGGUGGUGAGGAAAUCAAAUUGGGAGGACUGUUGGAUAGGUCGUUGCUUGUCUUUUAUGAUGAACAUAUUGCUUGAUAUUAGUAAGUGCAUUAGAUAAGUAUAUUAAUAUUAAUGAAUUGUAGAAUGGUGG
rnacentral:sRNA from 1 species